CAGCCGCCGCGGUAAUACGAAGGGUGCAAGCGUUAAUCGGAAUUACUGGGCGUAAAGCGUGCGUAGGCGGUUUGUUAAGUCUGUUGUGAAAUCCCCGGGCUCAACCUGGGAAUGGCAAUGGAUACUGGCAAGCUAGAGUGUGUCAGAGGAUGGUGGAAUUCCCGGUGUAGCGGUGAAAUGCGUAGAGAUCGGGAGGAACAUCAGUGGCGAAGGCGGCCAUCUGGGACAACACUGACGCUGAGGCACGAAAGCGUGGGGAGCAAACAGGAUUAGAUACCCCUGUAGUCCCUGUCUCUUAUAA
rnacentral:rRNA from 1 species